CAACAACAACAACAUCAACAACAACAACAAUCACAACAACAACAACGACGACGACGACGACAACAAUGACAACCACGACAACAAUGAGAACAAUGACAACAACGACAACUACGGUUACAACAACAACAACAAUGACGAGGAUAACAUCGACAACAAUUACAAAAGAGACACCAACGAAAACAACAAAAACAACAAUGACGAUGACAAUGCCGACAAC
rnacentral:lncRNA from 1 species